rnacentral:lncRNA from 1 species
UCUUUUGUUCUUAUGCUCGUUGCAUCUUUUUCUUUUUCUUCUUUCUUUUUUUUUUUUUUGGUUUCGUAUUAAUCUAAUAAGUUAAGCUGUUUUCACCCGAUUUCUGCAGCUUGUUCUUGUGUUGUGCUGGUACACCACUGUCCCAGGUUAGGGGAAGGUUGGUCGAGUGUUCACCACUUUUCUCAACCUCGCAACAUUUUUU